GUGGCACCAACCCGGAGAUAACGGAGGGGUGCGAGGCGUUAAUCGGAAUUACUGGGCGUAAAGCGUACGCAGGCGGUUUGUUAAGCGAGAUGUGAAAGCCCCGGGCUUAACCUGGGAACUGCAUUUCGAACUGGCAAACUAGAGUGUGAUAGAGGGUGGUAGAAUUUCAGGUGUAGCGGUGAAAUGCGUAGAGAUCUGAAGGAAUACCGAUGGCGAAGGCAGCCACCUGGGUCAACACUGACGCUCAUGUACGAAAGCGUGGGGAGCAAACAGGAUUAGAUACCCUGGUAGUCC
rnacentral:rRNA from 1 species